AUGACCAUAUCACAUUAAAACACCGGUUCUCAUAUGAUCACCAAAGUUAAGUGUUAUUAGGCCAGGCCAGUAUCUAUAUAGGUGACUGCUUGGGAAUACCAUGUGCGGUAAG